rnacentral:rRNA from 1 species
AUUGAACGCUGGCGGCAGGCCUAACACAUGCAAGUCGAACGAGUGGCGGACGGGUGAGUAAUGCUUGGGAAUCUAGCUUAUGGAGGGGGAUAACUACGGGAAAAUGUAGCUAAUACCGCGUACCAUAGGCUGAGCCCAAGUGGGAUUAGGUAGUUGGUGGGGUAAAGGCUCACCUAGGAGACGAUCUCUAGCUGGUCUGAGAGGAUGAUCAGCAACACUGGGACUGAGACACGGCCCAGACUCCAAGGGGAGGCAGCAGUGGGGAAUAUUGCAAAAUGGGCGAAAGCCUGAGGCAGACAUGCCGCGGAGAUAAAGAAGGCCCUAGGGUUGUAAAGAACUGUCAGUCGGGAGGCGUUACCGACAGAAGAAGCACCGGCUAACUACGUGCCAGCAGCCGCGGUAAUAC